rnacentral:rRNA from 1 species
UACAGAGGUCUCAAGCGUUGUUCGGAUUCAUUGGGCGUAAAGGGUGCGUAGGCGGCGCGGUAAGUCGGGUGUGAAAUCUCGGAGCUUAACUUCGAAACUGCAUUCGAUACUGCGGUGCUUGAGGACUGGAGAGGAGACUGGAAUUCAUGGUGUAGCAGUGAAAUGCGUAGAGAUCAUGAGGAAGACCAGUGGCGAAGGCGGGUCUCUGGACAGUUCCUGACACUGAGGCACGAAGGCCAGGGGAGCAAACGGG